GAAGAAGCAGCAGCAGCAGCAGCAUUCACGAUCCCACCAACAAAGCCAAUUAAAUUAACACCUUCCUCUUUCACUACACAAACUCCGUUUCCUUUAAAGGCCUCACUAACAUCAGAGAGAGAGUUAUUAGUACAAGCCAGCAAAUCCGAAGAGAGAAGUGAGGGAUCGUAAAGAGGAAGUAACCCUGUACAACCCUGAAGGUCAGGAUGGUUUUGAACCACAAUUCUUAGCUUGUCUCUUCUACUUUGCUGUGGGACAUGGUAGGGCUCAAAAUCCUCCGCCAUAGCUCCACAGAAAAAAAAAGAAAAAAUCUACACUCGUAUCCUUGAAGAAAGAGAAGAGAAGAGAAGAGAAGAGGAGAGGAGGA
rnacentral:misc_RNA from 1 species